rnacentral:rRNA from 1 species
UGAGGUUGUGCCCUUGAGGCGUGGCUUCCGGAGCUAACGCGUUAAGUCGACCGCCUGGGGAGUACGGCCGCAAGGUUAAAACUCAAAUGAAUUGACGGGGGCCCGCACAAGCGGUGGAGCAUGUGGUUUAAUUCGAUGCAACGCGAAGAACCUUACCUACUCUUGACAUCCAGAGAACUUUCCAGAGAUGGUUUGGUGCCUUCGGGAACUCUGAGACAGGUGCUGCAUGGCUGUCGUCAGCUCGUGUUGUGAAAUGUUGGGUUAAGUCCCGCAACGAGCGCAACCCUUAUCCUUUGUUGCCAGCGGUUCGGCCGGGAACUCAAAGGAGACUGCCAGUGAUAAACUGGAGGAAGGUGGGGAUGACGUCAAGUCAUCAUGGCCCUUACGAGUAGGGCUACACACGUGCUACAAUGGCGCAUACAAAGAGAAGCGACCUCGCGAGAGCAAGCGGACCUCAUAAAGUGCGUCGUAGUCCGGAUUGGAGUCUGCAACUCGACUCCAUGAAGUCGGAAUCGCUAGUAAUCGUAGAUCAGAAUGCUACGGUGAAUACGUUCCCGGGCCUUGUACACACCGCCCGUCACACCAUGGGAGUGGGUUGCAAAAGAAGUAGGUAGCUUAACCUUCGGGAGGGCGCUUACCACUUUGUGAUUCAUGACUGGGGUGAAGUCGACGG